AUACGGAGGAUCCGAGCGUUAUCCGGAUUUACUGGGUUUAAAGGGUGCGUAGGCGGCCAUUUAAGUCAGCGGUUAAAUCGUGGGGCUCAACCCCAUUCUGCCGUUGAUACUGGGUGGCUUGAUUGCGGUCGAGGUUGGCGGAAUUCGUUGUGUAGCGGUGAAAUGCAUAGAUAUGACGAAGAACACCGAUUGCGUAGGCAGCUGACCAGACCGCAAAUGACGCUCAUGCACGAAAGUGCGGGGAUCGAACAGGAUUAGAUACCCUGGUAGUCCGCACAGUAAACGAUGAAUACUUGUUUUCGGCGAUAUAAUGUCGGAGGCAAAGCGAAAGCGAUAAGUAUUCCACCUGGGGAGUACGCCGGCAACGGUGAAACUCAAAGGAAUUGACGGGG
rnacentral:rRNA from 1 species